CUUAGUGUCAUGUGGUUGAAACAAGAUUUGUCGUGAGAAGUCAGCCGAGACCAUAGUAGCGAUAUGAGAGUGUCGUCAAGGGU
rfam:Bacteroides cellulosilyticus CAG:158 genomic scaffold, scf135